CCUACGGGAGGCAGCAGUGGGGAAUAUUGGACAAUGGGGGGAACCCUGAUCCAGCCAUGCCGCGUGUGUGAAGAAGGCCCUCGGGUUGUAAAGCACUUUCAGUGAGGAAGAACGCCUGGUGGUUAAUACCCAUCAGGAAAGACAUCACUCACAGAAGAAGCACCGGCUAACUCCGUGCCAGCAGCCGCGGUAAUACGGAGGGUGCGAGCGUUAAUCGGAAUUACUGGGCGUAAAGCGCGCGUAGGUGGCUUGAUAAGCCGGUUGUGAAAGCCCCGGGCUCAACCUGGGAACGGCAUCCGGAACUGUCAAGCUAGAGUGCAGGUGAGGAAGGUAGAAUUCCCGGUGUAGCGGUGAAAUGCGUAGAGAUCGGGAGGAAUACCAGUGGCGAAGGCGGCCUUCUGGACUGACACUGACACUGAGGUGCGAAAGCGUGGGUAGCAAACAGGAUUAGAUACCCUUGUAGUC
rnacentral:rRNA from 1 species